CCCUUAGAUGUUCUGGGCCGCACGCGCGCUACACUGACGAAGUCAGCGAGCAUGUCCUACGCCGACAGGUGCGGGGAAUCUUGUCAAACUUCGUCGUGAUGGGGAUUGAUUAUUGAAAUUCUUGAUCAUCAACGAGGAAUUCCUAGUAAGCGCAAGUCAGCAGCUUGCGUUGAUUACGUCCCUGCCCUUUGUACACACCGCCCAUCGCUACUACCGAUUGAAUGGUUUAGUGAGAUCUUCGGAUUGGCGCCACUGCGGCUCAGCAAUGGGCUCGGUGGAUGCCGAAAAGUUGAUCAAACUUGAUCAUUUAGAGGAAGUAAAAGUCGUAACA
rnacentral:rRNA from 1 species